rnacentral:rRNA from 1 species
CAGUCGCCGCGGGAAUACGUAGGUGGCAAGCGUUGUCCGGAAUUAUUGGGCGUAAAGCGCGCGCAGGUGGCUAAUAAGUCUGAUGUGAAAGCCCACGGCUCAACCGUGGAGGGUCAUUGGAAACUGUUAAACUUGAGUGCAGGAGAGAAAAGUGGAAUUCCUAGUGUAGCGGUGAAAUGCGUAGAGAUUAGGAGGAACACCAGUGGCGAAGGCGGCUUUUUGGCCUGUAACUGACACUGAGGCGCGAAAGCGUGGGGAGCAAACAGGAUUAGAUACCCCCGUAGUCCCUGUCUCUUAUACA